GAUGAACGCUGGCGGCGUGCCUAAUACAUGCAAGUCGAGCGAACAGACGAGGAGCUUGCUCCUUCGACGUUAGCGGCGGACGGGAGAGUAACACGUAGGUAACCUACCUAUAAGACUGGGAUAACUUCGGGAAACCGGAGCUAAUACCGGAUAAUAUUUCGAACCGCAUGGUUCGAUAGUGAAAGAUGGCUUUGCUAUCACUUAUAGAUGGACCUGCGCCGUAUUAGCUAGUUGGUAAGGUAACGGCUUACCAAGGCAACGAUACGUAGCCGACCUGAGAGGGUGAUCGGCCACACUGGAACUGAGACACGGUCCAGACUCCUACGGGAGGCAGCAGUAGGGAAUCUUCCGCAAUGGGCGAAAGCCUGACGGAGCAACGCCGCGUGAGUGAUGAAGGUCUUCGGAUCGUAAAACUCUGUUAUUAGGGAAGAACAAACGUGUAAGUAACUGUGCACGUCUUGACGGUACCUAAUCAGAAAGCCACGGCUAACUACGUG
rnacentral:rRNA from 1 species